GAAGUUUCACCCUCACAGCUUCUCAUGUUGCUGCAGUUAUGUAAGGUUCAUUAUUCUGUGGCUGUCCACGUUCCAAACUGCACAAUUGCAGUAAUUAUGUGUUUAAAUGGCUUGCAUAUCCAACCAUCCCAAAAUCUCUCAUCCUUUCUCUCUCUCUCUCUCUCUCUCUCUCUCUCUCUCUCUCUCUCUCUCUCUCUCGCACGGGUACCAAAAUUUCCACAAAUUCUAACCCUCUUCUUCUUCAAUCGAUCCUCAUUGUGAUUUUGUUCUUCUUCUGCUUCUCUUCUCUGUAACAUCAAUUGUGGAAGUGGAAGAACGAAUUUGAUGGCUUCAACCAUAGAAUUAACAAUUACUUAUGCCAUUUGUAAUCGAUGACGAUUCUUUCAUCUGGUGCUGGUAGAAUUCCUCAUUUAAAUGCUGUAAUUCUCGGUGAAAAUCUUGCUACCGAAGAAGAAGAUUGUGUUCUUCCAAAGCACAUGUUCGAUGACCGAAACAGGUGUGGUGAUGUUCGCUCACACGGAAGGCGGAAGAUUCGUCGGUGGUGGUGAGAUUUAUGGGUUUGGUUGACAUCAAUGUUUAUCUACUUUGUUAUUAUCAAACAUACUUUGCGUCUUUUUCUUUCUCGCAAACUUAAUGUAGCAUUAUGUUGAAUUGGCUGGUACGUUGAAAUUUGGGUUGAAUUGUCUGCUACCUGGCUCAUGAAAUGAUGCAAGCUUGGCAUAGACUGCAUCCCUGCUUUUUUGAUGCUGCAGGUUUUGAUGCAAGUUUGGAAAAGGUUGUUGAUUUCAUGAAAUGAUGAAACUUGACAUGCAUGCAAUUUGAUUUUUAUGUUAGUACAUUCUAUAGCAUUGUUACGGCCGAAAUCUGGAUUUAAAAAGUUGAUUAAAGGUGGAUGAAGCAACCAACAAAUUCGACGAGCGUGCUCCUCCUCUUCUCUCCUCCAUUCUUCCUCUUCUUCACAGGUUUCCAACUCUCUCCUUUCCUCUUUAUGCUUCAGCUCUCUACAUUUCAUAUCUUUCUCCUCAAAUUUCUUAUGUAUCUCCAUCUGAACCUAAUUAUCUUUCCAUCAAAACCGUGAGAUUGCGUUUGAGAAGGCGGAUCUGAAGUGUGAAUCGACGAUGACUUUAUGGUUCUGGAAAAGGGAACCGAAAACAAAAAUGAUGUGAAAAUCAGUUUCAGUGGUGCGGCAGUAGGACUGAGUGAGACGCGGUGGUUUCCGACGCAGAUUUUGGAGAGUUGUCAGCAUAAACCUCACACAAUUCAAUUUGGCAUCCUUGAAUAAACGCGUGUCCCGUGCGAAUGCGAACAACUUGGGUAGCUACGAAAAUGAAGGUUUUGUUGAGGUUGUUGCCUUCAUCCGAUUCUUGAGAAUCCAAAUUGAUUCCGGGAACAGUGAAGGUGGGAGGUUUAUGGAAAUAUAUGCUCCUAUUGCAAAGGAUUUCGCUUCGCAUCAAGAGAUGUAGCUUCAAGAUCAAUGACUAUGGAGAUUCGGGAAGGUCGUGGUGUAGGUGUCCCUGCUAAAUGCUAAUGCAAUGGAUUACACGUCUGGCACGCCCUACAGUUCCUUAGACGAUUAUCCGUGUCAUAUUUCAAGCAAUCCAUACAUGAUCAGUUCAAAGUCUCACGUUCACCUGCGAUUAGAAACAUCGAGAGAAGUUCAAAGCAACACGAAUCCACAACAAAUUUGAAGCUUCACAACUCAACAUUAUCAUCAACGCAAAAACAACAGCCUCAUGUAUCACUGCUCGGAAGCAUGGACUUCAUCUUUGGCAAUAACACUUCUCUUUAGGAGCACUGUCUUAUUCAAUGCAAAUAUGUGGAGUUUCAGUACCGCACAGGCUACAAAAUCAUCGGAGGAAACAACCGAUUAUGUAUUCUUAAGAUGCGUUAUCACAAGUAACCAAGAAAUUUCAUAUGCAUAUCUUGGACGACCGUGGCGACCUUUUGGAAGGGUGGUUUUGGCGCACACUUACAUCAUUCCGGUAUACGACAAGUUGUUGUGGAGUAGGCACUGUUGCUGAUACAGAGGCAUUAACAGCCUCGAAAAGCACAUUUCCUAUUGAGAAGCUCAGUCCUAAAGUAACUGUUUCAUCUCUUUGGAAAGAGAACAAACCUUGAAACACUAAGUGUCAAAGAGAAUAAACCUGUAGCUGCUGACGAUGAAGAUAUGGAUCCAACGAAUUUUGUGGAUGGAGUAUCUCUAUCCCUUGCAAGUGCUAAAGUUCACUCUGGCAUCCAGAAAACCAAAUCCAAACCAAUGUUCC